UACGUAGGUGGCAAGCGUUGUCCGGAUUUACUGGGCGUAAAGAGCGCGCAGGCGGUCGGAUAAGUCGAAUGUGAAAGCCCCCGGCUCAACUGGGGAGGGUCAUUCGAUACUGUUCGACUCGAAGGCAGGAGAGGGAAGUGGAAUUCCCGGUGUAGUGGUGAAAUGCGUAGAUAUCGGGAGGAACACCGAUGGCGAAGGCAGCCCCCUGGGCUAACACUGACGCUCAUGCACGAGAGCGUGGGGAGCAAACAGG
rnacentral:rRNA from 1 species